rnacentral:ncRNA from 2 species
ACUACAGAUAGAGGCGCGAAUUUCAAAAUUAGCGGGUGCGAGGCAGCCAGAGCCGAAGACCACCCGUGAAAGGGAAAAUCGCCGAAGGGGAUACCACCGUGGCAGGGGAUCCGCCUGGUUAACCUGCGAACAGCAUGUUAACUGUCAUCAGUCUUUGAUGGAGAGCUAUCGGCUUU